rnacentral:rRNA from 1 species
AGCGAACGCUGGCGGCAGGCCUAACACAUGCAAGUCGAACGAAGUCUUCGGACUUAGUGGCGGACGGGUGAGUAACACGUGGGAACGUGCCUUUAGGUUCGGAAUAACUCAGGGAAACUUGUGCUAAUACCGAAUGUGCCCUUCGGGGGAAAGAUUUAUCGCCUUUAGAGCGGCCCGCGUCUGAUUAGCUAGUUGGUGAGGUAAAGGCUCACCAAGGCGACGAUCAGUAGCUGGUCUGAGAGGAUGAUCAGCCACAUUGGGACUGAGACACGGCCCAAACUCCUACGGGAGGCAGCAGUGGGGAAUCUUGCGCAAUGGGCGAAAGCCUGACGCAGCCAUGCCGCGUGAAUGAUGAAGGUCUUAGGAUUGUAAAAUUCUUUCACCGGUGAAGAUAAUGACUGUAGCCGGAGAAGAAGCCCCGGCUAACUUCGUGCCAGCCGCCGCAGUAAUAC